rnacentral:sRNA from 1 species
GUCGAUGGCCGAUGCUCGAUCCUAUCCCGAUGCAAAAGUGCGAGAGAAUCAAUUGUGUGUUGACAUUUUUAUCAGCACACUUGGAGCGGUGCGUGCAUAGGCAUUUCGCAAGGCCAAAUAUUUCGGCACAUGGUCAUGGCUGCCGGGAUGCCAGGACGCCGGGAUUCCAGGAGCAGGAAGCAAAAUCAGUGCCAGCCGAGUUGGCCAUGACAAUGUUGACCCUUUUUUGCGCUACAUCAAACGUGCCCGGCUUGGGGCUGAUAGCUUCGUUAGAUGAAAGGUUCGACCCGGUCGAAUUAUACAUGUAAACACACGAAGAAAGUCAGAGUGUGUGCACGGCAAGAAAAAGUUAGAGAAAAAUGAGAAGAGCACAUGUGAGAAGGUCAAUAGAGGAGGUUGAAUUGUGUGAUAGAUUCGGUCUUUGCUAAAGAAACAGCUUAUCGGGAUUGCAAUGUGGCCCUGCGAAUCAGCGGCAGUUGUAAGUUGUUUAUGGUAGUGGCAUGCUGCCUUUAUGCUAAUGCCGUGUGCGUCCCACGUGGCGUAUGCGUGUUCUGCCUUUCAAGUUUGAUUGGGUUUUGUGGCGGCGGAAACUGAAUCUGGCAAAGAUGCCGAAUCCGAUCCCAAUGCCAAUACCGUUGAUGAUGAAACUCCUGUCAAGGCAACCGUUUAAUUGUGCAUCAUAAGCCGCUUACUUAAUUAUGGCAUUCGGCUGUUGGCGUAAUUAAAGGCGAAGUAGUUGGAUUGCCGUUUGCCGUUUGGGUCUAGCCGAAUGGAAUGGAAUGAAUAAAAUUAUCGUGCGAGCACAAAGCCGUUUUCCGUAA